rnacentral:lncRNA from 1 species
GCCAUCUGCUCUGUCCCUGACUGACACAAGAACAGUACCACCAACAAGGUGUGUCUUUGCCCAUGUGGUGGUGGUAACGGUGGGAGACGUAACAUGGAUGACAAAUGAUCUUGUAAAAGGAGAAAUAAUUGUAUGUUAUUUUAUCUGUGCACGUGAAUACUUUGGGAUGCUCUUCUAGAAUCCUGUUGGUCUGCUCCACCGUACUGUUUUCCAGCCUUAUCCUCCAUCUUCCUCCAUCCUAUGACUCCGUCAGACACCAGGAAAAGACCUCGCCAUUCUGCUGACUCACCGGUGAUCCCAGGACAGGCAGAGGCUGCCAUGCUCCCCUCCUGCCCCCAUCUGCCCUUCCACUCAGUUGCCAAGUCUGUGGAAGAAAUGCUUUCCAUUGUCACUUGUCAGCCUCACUGCCACAUCCUCGGUCACUAUCUCUUGAAACAUCUCUUCUGCCUCACUCUUUCUUCAUCUUCUGGGGCCCAUGCUAAACAUAGCUUGGAUGCUGCUGUCCCUCGGAACAGCUCUUGGUACCUUGGUCGUUUGCUUUCCCCCACUCUUCCCAUUUUCUCUUUGUGUUUCGGUUCAGAUGGUUUUUAAUUUACCUGUGUUCAAGUUCAGUGGCCCUUUCCUCAGGCCUGCCUCACUGCUGAGAACCCGGCUGGAGCGUUUUACCGCAGACAGC